UCUGCAACUCGACUGCGUGAAGCUGGAAUCGCUAGUAAUCGCGGAUCAGCAUGCCGCGGUGAAUACGUUCCC
rnacentral:rRNA from 1 species